rnacentral:rRNA from 1 species
AAGUCGAGCGGACAGAUGGGAGCUUGCUCCCUGAUGUUAGCGGCGGACGGGUGAGUAACACGUGGGUAACCUGCCUGUAAGACUGGGAUAACUCCGGGAAACCGGGGCUAAUACCGGAUGCUUGUUUGAACCGCAUGGUUCAAACAUAAAAGGUGGCUUCGGCUACCACUUACAGAUGGACCCGCGGCGCAUUAGCUAGUUGGUGAGGUAACGGCUCACCAAGGCAACGAUGCGUAGCCGACCUGAGAGGGUGAUCGGCCACACUGGGACUGAGACACGGCCCAGACUCCUACGGGAGGCAGCAGUAGGGAAUCUUCCGCAAUGGACGAAAGUCUGACGGAGCAACGCCGCGUGAGUGAUGAAGGUUUUCGGAUCGUAAAGCUCUGUUGUUAGGGAAGAACAAGUACCGUUCGAAUAGGGCGGUACCUUGACGGUACCUAACCAGAAAGCCACGGCUAACUACGUGCCAGCAGCCGCGGUAAUACGUAGGUGGCAAGCGUUGUCCGGAAUUAUUGGGCGUAAAGGGCUCGCAGGCGGUUCCUUAAGUCUGAUGUGAAAGCCCCCGGCUCAACCGGGGAGGGUCAUUGGAAACUGGGGAACUUGAGUGCAGAAGAGGAGAGUGGAAUUCCACGUGUAGCGGUGAAAUGCGUAGAGAUGUGGAGGAA